rnacentral:rRNA from 1 species
GCUUCCGGAGCUAACGCGUUAAGUCGACCGCCUGGGGAGUACGGCCGCAAGGUUAAAACUCAAAUGAAUUGACGGGGGCCCGCACAAGCGGUGGAGCAUGUGGUUUAAUUCGAUGCAACGCGAAGAACCUUACCUGGUCUUGACAUCCACAGAACUUUCCAGAGAUGGAUUGGUGCCUUCGGGAACUGUGAGACAGGUGCUGCAUGGCUGUCGUCAGCUCGUGUUGUGAAAUGUUGGGUUAAGUCCCGCAACGAGCGCAACCCUUAUCCUUUGUUGCCAGCGGUCCGGCCGGGAACUCAAAGGAGACUGCCAGUGAUAAACUGGAGGAAGGUGGGGAUGACGUCAAGUCAUCAUGGCCCUUACGACCAGGGCUACACACGUGCUACAAUGGCGCAUACAAAGAGAAGCGACCUCGCGAGAGCAAGCGGACCUCAUAAAGUGCGUCGUAGUCCGGAUUGGAGUCUGCAACUCGACUCCAUGAAGUCGGAAUCGCUAGUAAUCGUGGAUCAGAAUGCCACGGUGAAUACGUUCCCGGGCCUUGUACACACCGCCCGUCACACCAUGGGAGUGGGUUGCAAAAGAAGUAGGUAGCUUAACCUUCGGGAGGGCGCUUACCACUUUGUGAUUCAUGACUGGGGUGAAGUCGUAACAAGGUAACCGUAGGGGAACCUGCGGUUGGAUCACCUCCUUACCUUAAAGAAGC